rnacentral:rRNA from 1 species
GACGAACGCUGGCGGCGUGCUUAACACAUGCAAGUCGAGCGGUAAGGCCCUUCGGGGUACACGAGCGGUGAACGGGUGAGUAACACGUGAGUAAUCUGCCCAUCACUUCGGGAUAACUCCGGGAAACCGGUGCUAAUACCGAAUAUGACCACUUCAGGCAUCUGAUGGUGGUGGAAAGUUCCGGCGGUGAUGGAUGAGCUCGCGGCCUAUCAGCUUGUUGGUGGGGUAGUGGCCUACCAAGGCUUCGACGGGUAGCCGGCCUGAGAGGGUGACCGGCCACACUGGGACUGAGACACGGCCCAGACUCCUACGGGAGGCAGCAGUGGGGAAUAUUGGACAAUGGGCGAAAGCCUGAUCCAGCAACGCCGCGUGAGGGAUGACGGCCUUCGGGUUGUAAACCUCUUUCAGCAGGGACGAAGCGCAAGUGACGGUACCUGCAGAAGAAGCACCGGCCAACUACGUG